AAGCGCUUAUGACCAGACUUGCGCCGGGUUGAUCAUCCAGUGUUCUCACUGGUGCACUCUUCCCGGUUCAGGCCAGCAUCGGUUCUGUCGGGGGCAUAAAGGCAGUGGGAACGUAUCUCUU
rnacentral:rRNA from 1 species